UACGGAGGGGGCUAGCGUUGUCCGGAAUUAUUGGGCGUAAAGAGCUCGUAGGCGGUCUGUCGCGUCGGCUGUGAAAUCCCGGAGCUCAACUCCGGGCCUGCAGUCGAUACGGGCAGACUGGAGUUCGGCAGGGGAGACUGGAAUUCCUGGUGUAGCGGUGAAAUGCGCAGAUAUCAGGAGGAACACCGGUGGCGAAGGCGGGUCUCUGGGCCGAUACUGACGCUGAGGAGCGAAAGCGUGGGGAGCGAACAGG
rnacentral:rRNA from 1 species